CUACUUUGUUGCCAGUGAGCUGGGAGUUUUAGGCCCAGGGCGUGCCGUUUGCCAUCAGUAGCCAUUGUGAUGGGCUAAUCGUGAGAAUAUAAGUGGAUGGAUGGAAGCAUUCCAGCCGGUCCCUGUUAAACGAUUCCUGGCAUGCUAAUGCACGGCAGACGGUAAUGGAGAGCCUAAUCAGAUCUGGGGAGCUCAAAAUCACUGGAGCGGUGGCAGACUGUCCACUUCCAUCCCAGAGGUGGCUGCAUUCCAGUGAGGAGUGGAUUGAUCUCUGUGUAUAUAAUGGCCCUGCCCUAUGCUGCAUUGUAUAGAGCAUGAGCCCUCUCUCAAAAGACUGAAAGGGUUACUGAAAGCAGACACUGGAAAUGGACUGAAAAUUUCGAGGGCAUAUCACGAAUUUCUAUCGGCAAAAGGAGGCCGAGGAGAGGCUGCAAAAUAAAUAAUCUCCCCAGUCCGAGCUGCAGUAGAAGAGGAAAUAAAGCAAAAUGAA